rnacentral:rRNA from 1 species
AUUGAACGCUGGCGGCAUGCUUUACACAUGCAAGUCGAACGGCAGCACAGGGAGCUUGCUCCCGGGUGGCGAGUGGCGCACGGGUGAGUAAUACAUCGGAACGUGUCCUGUUGUGGGGGAUAACUGCUCGAAAGGGUGGCUAAUACCGCAUGAGACCUGAGGGUGAAAGCGGGGGAUCGCAAGACCUCGCGCAAUUGGAGCGGCCGAUGCCCGAUUAGCUAGUUGGUGGGGUAAAGGCUCACCAAGGCGACGAUCGGUAGCUGGUCUGAGAGGACGACCAGCCACACUGGGACUGAGACACGGCCCAGACUCCUACGGGAGGCAGCAGUGGGGAAUAUUGGGCAAUGGGCGCAAGCCUGACCCAGCAACGCCGCGUGAAGGAAGAAGGCUUUCGGGUUGUAAACUUCUUUUGUCAGGGACGAGUAGAAGACGGUACCUGACGAAUAAGCCACGGCUAACUACGUG